AGUGCAAGUGACAUCACAAGUGACAUCGAAUGCAUUGUGACUGUGAAUGGUGACAAGACCUACAACUAUAACAUCACAAAACCUUUUGUCUCCGAUCCUUCUGACUGCGAUUUAUCAUGGAAAGAUGAAACUCAUGCUGUGCUGGCAAAUCUAAACGACAAAAACCGUGACCUGGUCGUGGGAUACAGCAUAAACAACCUCGUCACCUCAAAAUGCCAUGGCGUCAUUUUCUACUCACGUCACUGCGAAUCAGAGAAGGUAGCUUUCACUGCAAAGUGUUGGAUUAACUGCACUGAAACCUCCCUUGGGCCUGAGAAACAUGAAGCAGAUUCCAACAGCAAGCACGUGGUCCCUGUUACUGUUACUCUCAUUCUUAUCCUGGCGGCGCUGGCGCUGGUGGGGGUGAUCAUUGGUGUCUUCAACAGAGAUAAGAUUCUCAGGUUGUUGUUGUUUUUAAAAAAUCACAUCACUAUAUAACAUGGCAUACAUUGCCCACAUCCAUCAACUUUUAAAUAAUUCUGUAUUUUCAUUUGUAGGUCACGCUACUGGAGCCAGAUCAGAGGCAUUUGGACUCCUGUGAAACAGGCCGAUGAUUCACAGGUGGCGUGGAAUGUGGAGGCGGGGAUCAAGUAGAAAGACGCUCUUCUUGAACCCUUUCUAUGCGACUAGAGUAGUAUAGUUUCUUAAAACGUCGUUCAUGCUUUUAAUCGUGUUUCCCUACAUUAUUUUUAACUGCAGUGUGCUCUCAGUACUGUAUUUCUGCUGCACCACUGUUUACAUACUGCCAGUGUGGUCAGGACCAAACCACCUUUUCCCUGUUUGAAACAAUAGUCCAGAUUCAAUUAUUUAAAAUUGUUAUGCAUUAAUGUCAGUUAAAAUUGUGUUACUGUCAAGGAAUGGGUAAGCAGCUGAAACAACUAUUAACCAGUAUAGCCGUUAACAUGACACCGCUGCAAGAGAAAGUUAUAGGGAAACACUUUUAUUAUAUAUUUAUUGCAUAUAUUAUAUGAACCUGUACACUUUAUACAAAUGAUCCUUAAAUGUAAUCAGUUCAGGACAAUCGUGUACAUUAAUGUGAUUUGGGAAGCUAUAUAUAGUGGACUCUAGCAAAGACUUUUUCUUUUUCUUGGCACUUUUAGCUUCCUUUUCAACAUUAUUUUAACAGUGUCGCCGUAUGACGUAUUGGAUUGGUGCACAGAUAAAUAGUUGUUGAGGCUGUGGAAGCACACAGAUAGACAGACAGACAGCGAGUGCACUUUUAAGGACCAAAGCUUGUAGCAAAGCAGUAAUGUCCCCUGCCCCCCAUAUUGGUGUUAACGUGAACCAAAGCUGUGGAAGCUAUAGGCGCGUAAUGCAGUACCAAUGUGUGCCCUUUCAGUGUCCUGUAGCAUUACAGCUGCCCCUAUCAUAAUGUUAUAUAGUAUUAUUAUACAUGAUUGUAUUAUUAUUAUUAUACACACUAAAUAUAAGCCUAAAUAUUAAAUACCUAAUAAAUAUGCCAAAAUGUAUUUGGAAUAUUUAUAUUUUAUAUGCUAAAUAUAUAUGUAUUGUUCAAUACACUAAAGGGUAAAGUGUGCAAUGGAAUCCCAGCCAAUGCAAUUGAAUUGUGGACCAAAUAUAGUGAAUAUAUAGAGUGAGUUUGUUAUGUCCAGCCAUUGUAUGUCUUUUAUUGUUAAAUAAUAUACCAUGAGUGCCUCUGUUGAAUCUGUCUGCUUUCUGUUUUCUGUAUUUUCAAAUCAUGUAUUACCUCUAACUCUUUCUGCAUUAAAAAGGGACCAAAUGACUGAACCGUAACAAAGCCCUGAAAUAUUGGUCGAAAUGGCUUACGUAUGUAAAUGAGAAAACAGAAUAACUCCUAACCUCCUACCUAUGGAUUACUGUGACCCUACUUCGUAGUGUGUUUUUCUUUUUCUUUUCUUUUUUCUGAGACAAAGAGUUUGAUUUCCCUCGGUGACCUGUAUGUUCUGAUUUAUGUAUGUUCUGAUUUAUGAGAUUCAUAUGUCUUGAUUGUUUGUGUAAGACACUGGAAAAAUGUGAAAAAUUAAAAAUAAAGUUAAAAAAA